rnacentral:lncRNA from 1 species
AUGGAUACUAAUAGGUACAUUAAUAAUGAAAGUGUGUUAAAUCGUAAAAUUUCAAAAAAGAAUACAAAAAGAGCUUUUGAAAAUAUUAACGAUUACAAAAAUGAAGAUAAUUACGUAAGUAAUAUGAAAAAUAUGCCCCCACCAAAUAAAAAAAGUAAAUUUUGUUUUUGUUCUACAGAUCAAAAUGAAAACAAUUAUGAUUUAAACAGAAUUAAUAAAAACUCGACUAUGAAAAGAAAAAAAAAGUUAGAAAUAAAUUAUAAUGAAAUGAAAAAAAAAAUAAAAAUUACACCUGAUGAUGAAAAUGAUUAUAAUUUGUUUAAUACAUUAUCAUCAAAUAAAAUAAAUAUGUCCAAUUUUAAUAAAAUUAAUGAAUUACAAAAAAAAAAAAAUUUUAAUUAUUCAGCAUAUAAUAGGUUGAAAGAAAAUUCACCAAACAACUCUUUUUUUAACUUAACAACUAAUAAUAUAUAUACCAGUAGUAAUAAUGAAAAAAACAAUGACUACUUAUUAUCAAAAAAUAACACAGAAGAAAAUACAAACGCAUGCUCUGAAUUAGCUAUAAUUCCGUUUGAAGAGAACACAAAUACAAGCAUUAUACCAUACAAUUAUACUUAUGGGAAUAAUUUAUUUUAUAAUAAUAACAAUGUAAAAAAUAUUUUUAAUAUGCUUCCAAAAAAUAAUGUUAUAUACGACAAUUUGUUAAUAAAUAAUAAAUUAAAUAAUCAUAAACCAUGGAUAAUUAAGCAUGAUGAUUUAAGUUUAUUAUUAAAUAAAUAUGAAAAUAAUGAAAAUAAGUUAAAUAAUUGUAAAAUAAAUGAUAAUAAAAAUGCUCCAAAUAUACAACAGAAUUAUGAAGUAGUAUGUUAUAAUAGCACACUAAAUAAUCCAGCUAAUAUAAACUGUAAUAAUAAUUCAAUAAACAAUACUACUACGGUUACUACAACUGCUAAUAAUAACGGCACUUUUAAUUAUAAUAAAAUAUAUAAUAAUGUACCAAACGUUUAUUACAAAUUUGGUAGCAAUAAUAAUAAUAAUAAUAAUAUCGCAUUAAAUAUUAAAAGUGAAAGUUAUCACUUAAAUAAUUUAAAUAAUGAAUAUUAUGUAAAUGGAGUAUCGAACGGAAUGGUGGCUAGCCCAAUGAGCUCAGACAUUAUUACUGAUACAAGUACAACAGCAAACACUCCUACACUGACUAACGUAAACAAUGUGACCGGAAUAAACAACAUGUCGAACAUGGUUAACAUGAUCAACAUAAAUAAUAUGAACUGCAUAAACAAUACACCAAGCGAUUCCAAUUUGUAUUUAGACAACAUAAACACUAAUCCGGAUCCUUCUAUUAAUAACAUAAAAAAUAAACUACCUAGUGUCAAUAUGGUGAUCGGACAAAAUGAUAUAUGUAAUAACAUCGAAAAUGAGUAUGUUAAUGUAAAUAUAAAUGAUUAUAUAACAAACAAAUCAACAAACAAAGAGCCUAUUUUGUUUUACAUGAAUAAUAAUAGUAAUAGUAAUUAUAACAAUACUAAUACCUAG